rnacentral:lncRNA from 1 species
UCACACACCACGAGUACGACGAAGUGGAAGCCAACAUUAGCACCCAGUUACCGGACAACCUGGUCCAACGUUCCUUUUUCUUCGGCUCCUAUGAAGUUCAAGCUCUUCGAAAGCUGCUCCCACCCCACCUUCGCCAAUGCUCCAAGUUCGAACUAUUAACAGCUUGCUUAUGGCUUUGUCGAACCAUUGCUAUAAAUCCUGACCCUGACGAAGAAGUGCGCAUGCUAUGCUUUGCUAACACACGUUCCAAAUUUAAUCCUCCAUUGCCAUUGGGAUAUUAUGGUAAUGCCAUCGUGUCCCAGCAGCAAUAACAACAGCUAGAAAACUUUGCCAGAAUCCAUUGGGGCAUGCAGUGGAACUAGUGAAGCAAGCCAAGGCAAGCGUGACGGAGGAAUAUGUGAAAUCAGUCGCUAGUUUGAUGGUGAUUAGGGGUAAACGGCUGCACUUCCCAGCAGUGAUUGGUUCCUACUUGAUAUCAGAUGUAACAAAAUUUGGAAUCGAUGACGUCGAUUUCGGGUGGGGUAAGGCAGUGUUUGGAGGACCAGCAAAAGGUCUUGGAGUGAUAAGCUUUUUCAUACGAGCCAAGUAUAUGAAAGGCGAAGUUGGAACUUUGGUGCCGAUUUGUUUGCCAGCACCGGUCAUGGAAAGAUUUGCUAAGGAAUUGGACAACAUGUUGAAGGGUAAAUCAUUUUUUAUUUCAUCUGCUAUGUGAAAGAAAUAGAAAUGUGACAUGAAGAGAGAAUGUGUGGUAUCAUGAUACUCUUCUUUAAAUUGCAAGGCUCUUGCCCAGUAUAUGUUUCUUCCCCAAUAUGUUGUAGCUAAUAACCACUUCAUGAUAAAUAAAAACGAGGAACAAUUAAUUUAAUGAUUUCAGAAGAACUAAAACAACUUUAUGCAUGAAUUAAUGCUUAAGGUUGUUGAUUAGCAAUUUGAGAUUAAUUAUGUAGCAUAAUAUUGCAUUUGAAAACUCAAAUUCGGAUUUGAAUUUUUUCUUUAGAUAUUAUUUAAAUUUAAAAUACAAGAACUUGGAAUUUUAUAUUCCAAAAAAUUUAAGAUUAGAAGUUUCAAUUUUUUUUUUUUAAAGAAGUUUCAUAUUACAAGUUAAAAAAUUAAGAUUAUAGUAAAAUAACUUUUAAUAUGUAUCAAAUAGUAUAUGCAUAGAAGAAUCGAUAUAUAAGCAAAUAUCAAUUAAAUAAACAAAUGAUCAACAUUAAGUUGGAAUAAACUCGCAUAUUAACAUGACUUGGACGCGAGACGUAAAGGUUUCAAAGCCUUCUCGUUACUAUGAGAAGAUUACUUGCACACGAAAGGGCUGAAUUUAGUGCAGCAGGUCUAGAAGUAGUGGGAAUUAUACUGGAGCAAUGGAAUAAGGGAGAAGAAGUAGUCUUUGAGGUAGUAGAAGAAGAUUUAACAUCUGAAAAUGAAAAAUGUAAUUCACUAAACACUACAUGUUGAGAUGUGUAGCAUUUUCCCUGAAGCAAUAUAAAGAUACUUAAAUCCUCUAUGAUUUGGACUAUAACCAAGAAAGACAUAUGCUAAUGAUCUAGAUUGUAGUUUGUUAGAAUUAUGUAGUCAAAUUCACGUUUUACAUUAAUUUUUUAAGAAAAAAAUUUAUCAUUUAUAAAUAUUAUAAUACAAUUAAUAAGUAACAAUUUAACAUUAUUUCGAGUCCACAUAUAUAAAUGAUAAAUUUUUACAUAAUUUUUUAUUAUGAUUAAUUAAUGUGUUUAUGAAUCUUAAAGAUAAAAAAUUAUUCCUUCUGUCUCAUUCUUUUUUUUUUUGUCUAUCCCUUUUUUCUUUUAGGAUAUUUCAAAUUUAUGUCUUUUUUUUAAAUCUAAAAUUUUUACUUUUUUAUAUUUUAUGAUUUUUUUUUACUUUUUGACAUUAAAAAUUAUGAAAUUUUAAUUCUAUAAAAAAAAUUGAAUUUUAAUAUUAAAUACAUUAAAUUAAGUCAAAAAUUUUUCUGAAACUCUGCAAAAAUCAAUACCUUCUAAACAAAUUCAGACAGGAGCAAAAAAUAAAAAAAAAAUUUGAAUGCCUUUAAAUGUUGUUUGGAAACUUUUUCAUCAAUAAAAUUGAUAAAUUUAUCCAUAAUUUUUUAUUUACAUUACAAAUAUAUACCCUUAAAAAUAUUCUAAAUAUGCCGCCAUACUUUCAUUAGGUCAAAUAUGAUCUAUCUCGACAAAUUUUAGCCUCGAAUCAAAUUGGUAGUUCUAGAUGAAGUUAGACUCAAUUGAUAGAGUUUUUUUUAAUUAUUUUUUAAAAAUAUGAUGAAAGGAUAGUUGGACCAGUGCAAAUUUGGCAAUAAGGCUACUAGAAGUGGCAGUUGAAGAGAAUAAAAAAAAAUUAAGGGUAUAGUAGUAAUUGAAGUUAAACCAUUGGGGUGUUCUAAAUACACCACAAAAUCUUUUUUAUACACCUUCAAAAUGUUUUUCCAAAAAUAUCCACAUAACAAAUACUAAUUUUAACUUUUAAUAAAUGAUAAAAAUACCCUUAAUAGCUUAUACACUUCAAAACCAUUUUCGUAUAUCUCAAAAAUGAAUAUCUGAGAUUUAUACUAUGUUUUCGAUAAUUCAUUUUCUAGAACAAAAUAUAAUUUUUGAAAAUCUUUUUCUCAAAAUAAAAUAAAACUUUCGAAAAUCUAUUUCUAAAAAUUAUAAUGUAUUCUCAUAAAUGAACUUAUGUUAGUAAUCAUGUACUCUUGAAAAUUCAUUUUCGAGAAUACAUAAAUUUUUGUUUGUAUAUAUAUUUAAUUAUAAACUCUAAUGAUUUCUCUUUGGUGUAAUUCUGAUAAUAGAGACCACUAAUCUCUAGGCCACCGGCAUCCUAAUGAUCAAAAUAUUAGAGAUUUUUAUUAUUGGAUUUGUCAGUCAGCUAAUAACAUUAUUAGAAUAAGAUGUUCGAGCUCGGACUAGCAUGUAUGCACACACAUAAGUCAUUGAUGUGCCCAUUCUUAUUCGAUCAUAUGUGCAAAUGGAAGAUACAAAGUUCUCAAGCAUGCAUGAAAUAAAAAUGCUUUUGUCCUAAGCCCAAAAAACUAAAAAACGAUUUCAAUUUAUUUCAUGCAUGUUGAAAACAUUGAUUUCAAUUUCAUUUGCACACAUAAUCAAGAAAAUGGAUUAAUAAAGGCAUGAUUAAGAUUUUUUAAUGAUUAAAUGUAAAAUCAAGCUUUUCGUAAAUAAAAAUUUGAGAAGUCUCAAAUCUUUUUGGAAAUGAAUAUCUAAGAAGAUUUGAAUUCCGAGAAAAUUUGAAAUUUCUUGAAAAUGAAUAUCUGAAAAUUCUUAAAGUUUUUUGCAUAUCUAUUUUCAAAAGGUUCAAUUUCAGAAUGUGAAUAGAGAAGAAAAGAGAAAGGGUAGGAAUAAAAAAUAAAAAGUCAAAGGUGGGGUGUAUUUAGUAUUAAUAAGAAAAUGGGUUUUGAAAUUUUGAUAUAUUUAGAAUCGGGGUGGGUGUAUUUUACAUUUAAUGGGGUGUAAAUAGAAUUCUCCUAACCCAUUUCCUUCCUAUUAAAAUUUUUUUGUAUGGUUACAAAUUGUAAAUACUGUGAAUCCAUUAUUUUGUUUUGUAAAGAUUUCUCAAAAAUAGAUAUCCGAGAAUAUUUAAAUAUUCUCAAAAAUAAAUAUAAAAAAAACUUUGAAAUUUUUUGGAUAUCCAUUUUUGAGAAAUUUGAUUUUAGAAAGCGAAUAAAAAAGAGAAAAAAAGUAGAAACAGAAAAUAGAAAGUUAAAAAUUGGGUGUAUUUAGUAUAAAUAGAAAAUUGAGUUUUGAAAUUAGAGUGAAUUUAGAAUUGAGGUGUAUAGCAUUUAAUGGGGUGUAAAUAGAGUUCCUCUAAACCAUUUCCUUCUUAUUAAAAUUUUUUUGCAUGGUUUCAAACUGUAAAUACUUUGAAUCCAUUAUCCUAGUUUGUAAUUCCUUUGUGAUUUACCACAUGGUCCUGCACAUGUUGGCGGAGAUGUUGAUGAGAAAGGUUUGGGAAAUUCUUUAUUUGAUAAAAAACAAGAAAUCAGACUACUGUUCAUACGAGAGUUCCCAAAAUAAGUAUAAAUCGUUCAACUGUACAUUCGUUUUAAAAUUCUUCCGCAGUCCAGCUUAUCGUUUAGUAUGUUUUGUUACUAUCUUCUAGAUGAUAAAUGAAGUAGAAGAAGCGAAUAUGAUGGUGGGUAGAUAGUUUCAUGGAGAACUUUUAGCUGAAGAGGAAAUAUGGCAGCCAAAGCAGAGCAACAAGCAAAGAACGAGAAGAUUAAGCACCGAAAGAGGUCAAGGUUCGCCGUACAGUCACAUGAUCUAUUGAAAAUGUUAAACUCUUAAUUUUAGUAAUACAGCCUCAAAGUAUUAUUUCAAAAGAAAAAAAAAAGUCAAAGGUCCUUUGAGGGCUAAGGUAGAGGCAAGUUUGCAAGUAGGCAGAUGCGAACUGUGGUAACGAGUCCUGAUUUAGUCGCAUACUUAACAAUCAAACCUAUCCAGUCCUGGAGUGCAGAAGAUCGUGCUUAUAAAUUAAAAUUAAGAGACACAUAGAGAAGCAUGCAAGUGAGUUCUGGUUUGGUGGUGGGUUCUCACAACUUGAACGAGCUCAUAGUUAUAAGUCGCCCAAUGAAUAUUAGGACUGUUCACGUGAUAACAGUGUAAAAAAUCUUUUUUAAAAUUUUCGAAAACAUUAUAAAAACACACUAAGCAAACAUAUAAUUACUAUAGUUCUCAAAAAAAUUAGACAAAGGCAUAAAACACAAACAAAAACAAACCCAAAUACAUCCUUGAUGUUUUUUAUUUAUCCAAAAGCUGGAAGGAACUUGUUAGAUAAGAAAAAUGCUUUCGGUAUUAAUAGUGCUCAACUUCCUUCUUUUUUUUUUUAAAUUUGAAGUCGUCAGGAUUUAAACUUUAAUUAUUGAAAUUAAAGGUUUAACACUUUAGCAUCAAUCAAUUAGUGGCUGUUGGCAAUAAUUUACAUGCUUUACUUCUUGUUUGAUUACAAAUAAUUUCUUGGCUAAUUGAAUACUUGCUGCCUGUUGAUCAGAAUGGACGAGGCUAGACAACCAUUGUCAAGAAAGUUGCCCAUUCCAUCAAGCCAAAUCAACCCUUACCGGAUAAUCAUCAUAAUUCGACUUGUAGUUCUUGGAUUUUUCUUUCACUAUCGAGUCAUGCACCCGGUGAAUGGUGACUAUGCUUUAUGGCUUGUAUCAGUCAUUUGUGAAUUCUGCUUUGCUCUUUCAUGGAUUCUUGAUCAAUUCCCAAAAUGGCUUCCAAUUGACCGGGAAACUUAUCUGGAUAGAUUAUCCUUAAGGUAAGUUUUCUAUAAAGUGUUCAUAUAUACUCAUGAAAUAGUUCUUAAAGUCUAGAUUUUGAACUUGGGGCUUAGGCGAGUUUUUCACCACCUUUCUUAGGAAGUAGUUUCCAGCAAGGUUGGGCUUCGAUCCCUGGCACUUACAAAAUCCCCUUCCUCAAUUCCUCUUAGCCCUUGGCCUCCCAUAUACAAAAAAGGUCUAGAUUUUGACUACUGCUCUUUUUUUUUUUCUUUUUCAGGUAUGAGAAGGAGGGGGAACCUUCUCAACUUGCUCAUGUUGACAUAUUUGUAAGUACAGUUGAUCCAUUAAAAGAAUCCCCACUGGUGACUGCAAACACUGUUCUUUCCAUUCUUGCAUUGGAUUACCCUGUUGAUAAGGUCUCAUGUUAUGUUUCUGAUGAUGGUGCUGCUAUGCUAACAUUUGAGGUACUGUCAGAAACUUCUGAAUUUGCGAGGAAAUGGGUCCCCUUUUGUAAUAAGUAUAAUAUUGAACCACCGGCACCUGAGUGGUAUUUUUCUCAAACGAUGGACUAUUUCAACGAUAAGUUGUUGCAGUCAUUUGUGAAGGAAAGGAGAGCAUUGAAGUUAACAACACUUCCAACGUCAUUGAAUUUUAUUCUAUUAUUUAUGGCUGAUCACAUGGCAACCCCAAUGCCAAUUGUAACUGUAGAGAGAGUAUGACGAGUUCAAAAUUCGGAUCAAUGCUUUGGUUGCCAAGGCUCAAAAGGCUCCAAUAGAAGGGUGGGUUAUGCAGGAUGGAACUCCUUGGCCUGGGAAUAACAUUCGAGAUCAUCCUGGAAUGAUUCAAGUAUGUCUAGUGGAUUGUCAUUUUAUAUAUGAUUAUCAAUUAACUUAGAUCUGCGGUACAUCACAGGUUUUUCUUGGACAAAGUGGAAGACUUGACACUGAUGGAAAUGAACUGCCACGCUUGGUGUAUGUUUCUAGAGAAAAGAGACCAAGGUUCAAUAACCAUAAAAAGGCUGGAGCAAUGAAUGCUUUGGUUAGAGUCUCUGCUGUGCUCACAAACGCACCAUAUCUUUUAAGUUUGGAUUGGGAUCACUACAUUAAUAAUAGUAAGGCUCUCAAAGUGGCAAUGUGUUUCAUGAUGGAUCCAUUGCUAGGAAAGAGAAUAUGUUACGUCCAGUUCUCCCAGAGAUUUGAUGGCAUUGACAAGAGUGAUCAAAAUGCUAAUAAGAGCACCGUAUUUUUUGAUGUAAGUAUUUGUUUAUCAAAAUUUUGUUUUGUUCAUCUUUGACCAAAAUAUAAUGUGUGAAUCCUCAAUUUCAGAUUAAUAUGAAAGGUUUGGAUGGCAUUCAAGGUCCUAUAUGCGUUGGUACUGGAUGUGUAUUUAGGAGACUAGCACUUUAUGGCUAUGAUGCUCCAAAACCAAAGAAGCCAUCUACAAGGACAUGCAACUGUUGGAGUAAGUGGUGUUGUGGGUGCUUUUGCUCGAGGAAAAAGAAGAAGCUACCUUAUAAACAACUAAAGACAAGAAAUACUGAACAAGAAGAUGGAGAAGCAGCCCCACUUAUGUUUACUGAUAUGGAGGGUAUUGAAGAAGGUGUUGUAUUGAAUUUUUGUACUUUCUGAUCUGUCCCAUAAAACCAUUCAAGUUUUCUAACAAAUGAAAUUAUGUGAAGCAUUGUUAGUAUAGAUGUGAAAGCUUUGAAAAUGUGGAACCCUUGACUCAAUUAGUUUAUGCAAUCACCUUUAAGAGGUGACAUUCAGUAGGUCUGAAGUUCAAAUCCAGUACUUGCAUCUCAUUCCCCUAUUCCUGCAGCCUACUUUCUUAGAAAAAAAAAAAAAAGAAAACUCUGAAAACGCGGUAGUUGUGCAUUUGGUUGACCUGGAAUCCACCAUGAUCAUUUGAUUUGUGAUUUCCUUAUAAAACAUUCAAGGAUCUAACAUAUUUUUAUGUCAGAUUGUAAGACUAAUCAAUAUUUUAUAAAUCAAUAACCUUAACUGUCCAGCAAGUUUGAUUAUCUUGUCAUCUAACUUGGGAGAUCUUGAAUACAGGAAAGGUAGGGGAAAAUUUUGCCUUGUCUGAGCUGAAACUGGAAAAGAAAUUUGGUCAGUCCCCUAUUUUUAUUGCCUCAACCUUGCUAGAGGAUGGUGGAACAUUGAAAGGUGCUAGUCCUGCCCCUGCAUCUCUGCUUAGAGAAGCCAUCCAUGUUAUCAGUUGUGGUUAUGAAGAAAAAACAGAGUGGGGAAAAGAGGUAGCAACAAUUUUUAGAUUCUGCUAUCGAUAUUUUGAUAUAAUUUUUUCCCUUAAAAGAUACUUAUAAUUCAUAUUGAAAUUUUGAUAUACCUUUUUCCCUCAAAAGAUACUUAUAAUUCAUGCAAAUAUUUGUUGUGAUAUAGGUUGGAUGGAUCUAUGACUCAGUUACAGAGGAAAUAUUAACAGGAUUUAAAAUGCACUGCCACGGGUGGCGAUCCGUAUAUUGUAUUCCUGCUAGGCCUGCAUUUAAAGGAUUUGCUCCCGUCAACCUUUCUGAUCGUCUGCAACAGGUCCUCCGAUGGGCCCUUAGAUCUAUUGAAAUACUCUUCGCUAAGCAUUGUCCUCUUUGGUAUGGAUAUGGAGGUGGUCUAAAGUGGAUGGAGCGUAUUUCUUACAUAAAUGUCCUUCUAUAUCCGAGGAUCUCGAUUCCUCUGGUUGCAUAUUGUACCCUUCCCGCUGUGUGUCUGCUAACGGGAAAUUCAUCAUUCCAGAGGUAUUAAGCUUCUAACCAAAAAUUAGCGAAAGAAAACCUCGCUUGUUCUGUGGAUUUUUUUUUCUUUCUUUUUUCUUUUUUUUUUGGUAUCUGUAGCUGCCAAGAGUUAUUGAGAUUAAAAGUCCAAAAUUCCACGACUAUUUUUUUUUUAAUUUAUCAAUUUCUUUACAUUGUUGUUAGGACAUCCUUGUGAUGUGAACUUAAUUAUCUUCAAUUGCCUAUACAUUUGGCAGCUUAGCGGUGCCAGUAGCUUUUGGUUCUUGUCACUUUUCCUUCGUAUUUUUCCAACAGGCAUCUUGGAAAUGAAAUGGAGUGGAGUCAGUAUGAUGAAUGGUGGAGAAAUGAACAAUGGUGGGUGAUUGGAGGGGUUUCAGCGCAGCUAUUUGCUGUAUUCCAAGGGCUUUUAAAGGUUAUAACCGGCGUUGACACGAACUUCAUCAAGACUCCAAAGGUAAGCGACGAUGGAGAGUUCUCCCAGCCGUAUGCAUUAAAGUGGACAACUUUGCUCAUCCCACCAACAACAUUGCUUAUAAUAAACAUGAUAGGACUGGUUAUCGGUAUUGCAACUGCAAUAAAUUAUGGUUAUGAUUCAUGGGGACAAUUUUUUGGAAAGUGUUUUUUUGCCAUCUGGGUUAUUAUUCACUUGUAUCCCUUCCUAAAGGGUUUGUUUGGGCGAGAGAACAGGACUCCCACGAUUGUUAUUGUCUUGGUCAUUGUUGUUGGCUUCUAUCUUUUCUCUUGUGUGGGUUCUGUUGGGAAUAUUGACUCAAAUCCCUAAGAGAUUUGUUUGAGAUUUGUCAGAUAUUGUUUGAUGGACAAGAAGACUUGCAAAAGAAGAAUAUCAAGAGAAAGAGGAUUCUUAAUAGGUAAGUUUGACUUGCAAGAGAAGAAUUCUAAAAGGAAAGGGAUUCUUAAUAGGCAAGUUUGACUUACAGGAGAAGAAUUCUAAGAGGAGAGGGAUUCUUAAUGGGCAAGUUUGUAUGGUUAUAAAUAAGUGAAAUCUCUACAGGGUUAGGUAUGAGAAAAAGAUGUAAGAGAGUUGUAGGGUUUUAUGGGAUAGACACCCCAUAAGAGUAUUGGGGCUCUACGUCUUAUGGGUGUAUAUGUUUGUUUGUGAGUGGACUAGAGGAGAUUGAGAGAGUCCACAUAGGUAUAGUGUAUGGGAACAUAUGGGUAUGUGUUUGGUUAUGUUGAAAGGGUGCACAAGGGUUUGGGUUUGUGUUUGUUUGGAUUGAGAAUACUUCAUAGGACUAGAGGAGAUUGAGAGUGUCUUAUGAGUAUUGAUUGUUGAGUGAGGUUGAUGAUUUGAUGUAUGUUUGUAAUUCUCUACAACUAGUGGAUCUUGUUUCUCAUCCAUGGAUGUAGGUCAGUUGGACCGAACCACGUUAAAUUGUUGUCUUCUGUGUGUUUGAUUUAUUAUUUGAUGUCGUUUCCGCUGGUGUGAUUGGAUUGGAGGCUUUAGCCCAACAGGUUCAUUUGGAUCCAUUCUUGCCCAAAUCAGUUGGUCCGCCACUUGUGGAAUGUGGGUUGGAUUGUAACUAGCAGCACAUCUGCUCCACCGGAACCCCAAAAUUUGCUAGUUGAGGAUAUAUGGAUUAUGAAGGCAAAGUUUGCGUAGUGUAGCUUAAAUAUGUAUUUUGGGACGAUGUCAUCCCUUCCAUUCGCCAUUUCCUAACAUUGAAAUCGGAAUAAGGGUGUUGAGCAAAGUGAUUUUUAUUGGAGGUAACAGCUCCCUGAUUCUUUAUCAGUUUUAUGCACCCAUGGAAAAGGAGGCUAUGUGUUUUAUUAUUAUUUACAUUACUCUUUUGUCUAGUUGAUUUGAUUUUUACUUACAGUAAAAGUGGUGAUUGUAAAGGUUAAAGAUUUCAAUAUGUCAUUUUUUAUAUCAGUUUAUUGAUUUUUUAAAAAAAAAAACAAUAACUUUUUACAUAAAAAUAAAUUCUUUUAUUAAAAAAUCCAUCAUCAAUGGUGAAUUGCCAUGUGAAUUCACAUGAACGGAUAAAAUUUAUUAAAUUGUUUUAUUUCAUGCAUGUUGCAUAUGUGGCAUAUUUUUAUUGGUAAAAUGUGUUGGUGGAUAUAUUAGAUAGACAUAAUUUAGAUUAAGUUUUCUAAAUGGAGUUCAUAAAAUUUUUAAUAAAAAUGAUACAAUUAAAAUUUGAAUAAAAAAAUUGAAAUCAAUAUAUUGAUAGAAUUUAAUGAGAAUAUCAAUAAUAUAUUAAAAAUGAUUAAAAAUAUAAUUUAUUUGAUUAGUAUCAAUUGUAAAAAUUUUAUUAAAAUUUUUUUUCUAAAAAAUAUAUCAAAAUUUAUUAUAAUUGGUUAAUUGGUUAUGUUUUCUCACAUAUGCUUUCUCACAUAUGCUUCCUUGGCUUGUUCACAUUCUUCAUUCACAACACCCAUUUGUGUUCCAAUUUCAACCAUUACCUCAUUGAGCAUUUAGAUGUGCUUUUGUGCUUCAAUAAGUGCUUCGUCUUUCUUUUUUCAUCUAUGCUUGCAAUUGUCAAUUUUCUUUUAAAAGUUGGGUUAGCUCAUGAUUGGUGGAUGACUGUGUGAUGUUGAGAUAAAAAAAAAAGAUUCUUUUAUUCCUUUUUUUCUUGUUUGAGUGCUUGAACCUUUUUGUCUAACCCUCUUUUUAGCCUUUUGUUUUGAAGCUCCAAUUCAUCUUUUCAACUUAGAGCUUUCUUUUAGUGGUUUUCACUACCAAUAAGGGAUCAAAAGGUGGUGAUUUCAUUAGGCUAUUUGAAGUAAUUUCUUUAGGGAUUUUAAUGUCUUUGCAUUGCCAAAUGUGCCACACAAAGUACUUAGGGGUAACCUUAUUUGAGUGUCUCCUCCAAACUUCCCUUUGAGACAAAUUCCAAGCUUGCAAGGCUUUGGCUAUCUUUAGGGAGGCAUUAAUUUCAACAUAUAAAAAUUCCAUUUUACUAAGUUUGAAAGUGGCUAGGAUAAACUGUUCAUAGCCAUAUUGUCUUUACACUAUGAUGAGAGAAUAGCUUACUACAUCCCAAAGGCCUAAUAGAAGAACCUAAAGCUUAUCUUCUCAACCAUACAACUUUAGUCCAUAGGCAUCCAAAGAGCUCUUCAUAUCACAUCUUAACUAGUGAGCUUGCAUAGAAACAAGGUCCAUACUUCAUUGGAUUUUUGUAUAGGUUAUUCAUUCUCAUAGAAUUCCUUAAUAGAAGUGCUUGUAGUGAAAUAGGGCUUGCUAAAUUCACCGCGAUUAUUUUUAAUAUGACUUUUCAUCCAAAUGGUUAACAAUUGAGCAUAUCCAAUAAAAUGGCCCUCUCCAUUAAGGUGACAAUGAUUUAAAGAUCUAAUGUCUCGGCUAAAAUUAUAAAAAUAUGGUUAAUUUGGUAACCAGGUUGAUCAAAUAAAUUCACCACUGUAACAUCAAUACAACCCAUUACUUUUGGAAAUACCAUCAUCCCAUAUGAAGCUAAUGCCAUCAAAUCCAUUCCUCUUUCAAUGCAAAAAUAUUUGUAUAUAAAGUCACGAACAUUGGACCAACGAAUACCAACACUUUCAUCUUUUCCUUUUACCCAAUUAUCAAUAGUUUGGACAUCUAUGACCAUUAUUUGAGCAAGCUUUUUGCGUUAACCAGUUUUUUUAUUUUUUAAUAUACCUUAUCAAGAUUAGAGAGAUCCAAGCAAAUGAGAGUUGAAUAUUAUUCAAUAAUUGGUACCAUGUCAACUUCAUUGAACACAAAACAGCGAUAUAAAAGGUCCCAAACUUGAACCAUGGCCCUAAUAAGUUGAUUAUCCAUAAAGACUAAAAAAAGUAAUGCAAGAUCCCUAAACUUCUUUUGGAAAGUCUCCUUGGCAUUGACAUUCUAUUGGUUCCAAAUACUAACCAAAUCGUUAAGAUCAUUUCGUUUGAAAUUGAGAUGGAUUUUGGUAGGCAAAGUAGUUACAGAAUUGACUGGCAAAUAAUCACCAACUUUAAGCUGAGAUUCCUUAGCCUUUAUUCUUAGGCUCAUAGGGAACUUUGAUAGGUUAUCCAUGGAUGUAAUUAAGAUUCUCUUUGUUAAGAUUAUUUUGUAGUAAUUACUCCUUAUAUAAAUCUAAUGAUGCAUGCAUGUAAAAUAAAGUAGAGAAAAAUUUUAGUUAACAUAUACAAGGAAUAGCAUAAUAUAUACAAAGAACAAUAUAAAAGGUUAGUAUGCAAUAAUAUAUACAAGGAAUAACACAAAUUUACAAGAAUAAUAACUAUCCCAUCAUGUGUCUUAUUUAGGUUUUUUUCUAAUAAAUGGAGGGUAUGGCUCUAACCUAGGUUUGGAUUCUUAAGGUUCAUGUACAUGCCAGGUUCAAAGGCUUGACAAAUUAAAGGCUCUCAAAUUGUUCCCUGCAUCACCGUCCGUUAUAAACAAGUAAGGCACCCUAAUCCUCGCCCACUAUUAUAGGCUCAAACAGAAAGGGUUCAAUUUGAAUGAAAGUUUUUGCUAGCUCACACGAAGGUUAUCACCUCACGAGAGUGUAGGUACUUAUGUCACGGGCUCCGACCUUAGACUCAGAAUCGUGCCUGAUGUGCCUGGCGCGCCCGCCCAAGGCGUGACACUUGCUCCCUCCUAAUAAAGGAUAAAGUCCCAGUAUAGAGCUUAUGCAUGAAUACAAAUGUGGUGUGUGUAAAGGGACAUAUCAAAUAAUCAAAUAAAUUAAUGCACAUAAAAAAUUAAAAUUUGCAAAACAAGAAAACAAUAACCAAUAAGUUAGUAAUAUGAAAAUCACAAAUAAUUACAUAAUAAAACUAGCAAAGUAAGGCUUAAGAUAACACAUGACUAACUAAUGGAUUGACUCUCUAAUAUCCCCAGUGGAGUCGUCAAACUGUCAUAACGUUUAGGUUGAAAAAACUUACUAAUUAGACACAAAAAUCAAUGAGUCGCCAUCAAACUUUUUUACCUAGAUGUGAUUGGCCACCUAUAUGAAUCUAUCUUUUUUAAAGUUAUUGUAAGCCUAAGCUAAAGGUCUCUAAAAAGAAGAGUUUAUGGUUUACAUCAGUAGAACUAAAGUUUGGGAGUCGGUUACAUGUAGGGAAGGUAUUAGCACCCUUUUAUGCUCAAAAUUGGUACCACAUUAAUUAUAUGUCAUCUUGCCUAAGCCUUAAUCAAAGAUGGCUUUUAUCAUGCAAAUAAAUUAAUUAUAAUCCCUUUAUUUAUUUACAAAACAUGGUGAUACAAAAAUUCUAUCAAAUAUCAAGCAAUCAUGCAAUCAUGUAAUAAAUAUUAAAUCAUACCAUGCCAAAAUUAUCAUGCAAAUAUAUUAUAAAUCAUACCAAAUAUCAUGUAAUAAUAUCAUGCCUAGAUCAGGCUAAAAUAUUCAUGUGAGAAUGUCAUGAAAAUAUAUUAAUUGUCAUGCAAUAAGAACAAUCAUGUAAAUAUGCAAAUCAAAUAUAAUCACACAAUAAAUAUAAAAAUAUAUAGUUAGAUAUCAUUCAAAAUUAAUAUAAUAUCAUAUUAUGCAACAAAUAUAAAGUAAUGCAAUAAUAAUAAUGAAUAAAUAACCACGCAAAUAGAUAUAUUAUUAAUCAUACAAUCACACAAAUAAAUAUAUAUAAUCACACAAAUAACAAUAUAAAUCAUGCAAUUAAAUAUAUAAUAAUGCAAUUAACAAUAUAAAUCAUGCAAAUAAAUAUAUAAUCAUGCAAUUAACAACAUAAAACAUGCAAUUAAAUAUAUAAUCAAGUAAUUAACAAUAUAAAACAUGUAAUUAAAUAUAUUAUCAUGCAGUUAACAAUAUAAAACAUACAAAUAAAUAUAUUAUGCAAUUAACGAUAUAAAACAUGCAAAUAAAUAUAUUAUCAUGCAAUUAAAUAUAUAAUAAUACAAAUAAUAAUAUAAAUCAUGCAAAUAAACAUGCAAUUAAAUAUAUAAAAAUAAUCAAGCAACUAUACAAAUAAAUAAAUUGAUAAUCAUGCAAAUAAAUUAAUAAUCAUGUAAGCAUAUUAAUAGUCAUGCAAAUAUAUUAAUAAAUCACACAAAUAUAUUAAUCAUAUAAAUAAACUAUUAGACAAAUAAAUUAUCAUGCAAAUAUAAUAUUAGUCAUGCAAAUUCAUGCAAAAAUAUAUACCAUGAAAUAAAUAUAAAAAUUAAAAGUAAGUAAUUAAAUAUUAUAAAAGUUAUGCAAAAAUCACAAAAAAAAAAAAUGAAAGCAAACAUUACCUCAAUGGAUCAUGGGUUCCAACAAUUUCUUACAUUUCAAAAACUGAUGUUUUCUAUUAUAAAUCUUAAUCUUUCUUUCAAAAACUCCAAUUAGAUCUUCUUGCAAAUUUUUUUGUUUGAUUGCUUCUUCCUCGUUGAUUCAAACAUUUAUUCAAAUUUUCUCUCAUUUCAAUAACCUUUGUUUAUCUUGAAAUCAAUUGCCUUUAGGCUCCCUCUUUUGAUCUUAGAUUCAAUGUCCUUAUACAGGGAUUGAAUUCCUUUUGAUUUGAAAGAAAUUAAUUCAACUGAAUCUAGGAUUUUUCUCCAAUUUUAUUCUCUGAGCAAUCUUCUUUUUUUCAGUAGAUUGAGCCAUAAGUUUUUCCAAAAUUAUUCAAACACUAAAAUUAAAAUCCUAGAUAGAAUCCAAGAGUUUAAUUGAAUCCAAGAUUUUUCAUACAAAAUCCCAUAUUUUUCUUUUUUUCUAUUUUACUCCUUUUUUAUUUUUUUUACAAAUUGACUUUGACUUUUUUAGCUAAAAAAAUAAAAUUAAACUAAAAAAUUAAGAUACAAAUAAAAUUUAGGACUUAAUCUUUGGUUUCAAAAUUUACUUUUCUGAUUAAACCCAAUUGCACAAUCUAAAUUAAAAUUCAAAACCAAUGAAUUUCAAAAAAUCUCAGACAAAAUAGGAUGUUUACCUAAGCUUCAAGCAAAUAAAAAAGAGGUCAAGGGUCAGUUGAGGGCUAAGGUAGAGGAAGUUUGCAAAUAGGUGAGAUCGGACGAUGGUAAAGGGUCCUGAAUUAGUUGCAUACUUGCCUAACAAUCAAACUAACCAGUCCAGGAGUGAGAAGAUCUGUUUAUAAAUUUAAAUAAGAGACACAUAGAGAAAGAAAUGCAAGUGAAUUCUGGUUUAGUGGUGGGUUCUCACAACUUGAACGAGCUCCUAGUUAUUUGUCGUGACAGGGACUCUUCUGUGAGUUGUGUGCAUAUAUAUAUAUAUAUAUAUAUAUAUAUCAAACACACUUGCACUUUUUUUUUUUUUUGCUUUUGAAUGACAAAUUACAGGAAAAAAUGAGAGCGAAUGGUGUUGCAGAGAAAAAGGUGGGAAUGUUUAAGUGGCCAAACAUGUUACAUAUGCGGAGAUGAUGUAGGACUGACAGCCGCCUGCAAUGAGUGUGCCUUCCCCAUUUGUCGAGCUUGUUAUGAUGAAUACGAGCGCAGGGAAGGGAAUCAAGUGUGCCCUCAAUGCAAGACCAGAUUCAAACGUCUCAAAGGUCUCUCACUAGUGUGAGGGUAAAUCGUAUUUUUUCUGGGACCUGUUGGAGGGAGGAUAAUCGAAAUAUUGUCGUGGAAUGUUUGAGGUCUUACCAGGGGCAUGAAAUUCAAUAAGUUAGGAGGAUGAUAAGGGAAUGUUAUAUUGAAAUGGUGUUGUUGCGGGAAACUGAAUAGGUUUCUUGUGAUUUUGGAAUUGCUGAGAAGAUCUGGCUUUUUUUAUGGGGGAUCUAGUCUUGCUGAAGGAACAUCGAGUGGACUAAUAAUGAUUUGGGAAAAAAUUUAACUUCAGCGGUGAUCAAGAACAGAUUUGUGUACUGGUUUAUGAGUAUGCCCCUAAUGGCCAGGAUGAAAGAAGAGAUGAAGGAGUGAACUGGUUGCGUUGAAGCAUGAAAUGGGAGGAAAUAAGUGCGUGGCUGGCGAUUUUAAUACUAUUAGGUGUUCAGAUGAGAGGAGGGGGUGCACUUCCGAUGGUGUUGGGAUUGCUGAUUUAAAUGAGUUCAUUCAAACGGAGGAGCUUCUGGACUUACUCCUAGUCUUUUCUCUGUGGCAGUAGACAAGGAAUGUGUAGUUGCUGAGUAAGUAAAUAUCUAUUCAAGAGAAAGGAAUUUUCGAAUUAGAUGAUAGUUUUGAAUGUAAAAUAAACUAUUAAAGAAGUUGCAAGACAUUGCAAUCGAAAGUGCAGUAAGGACCAACACAAAGGACAAUCUAGUGUGGGAACUUGAUGGAAAUGAAAAUUCUCAGUAAAGCAAUUUGUGUCUUUCAUGGAUAGCUUGCAUCUUUCUUUCGAUCAAUAGAUUUUAUGGUGGCUAUUAGCUACGUCUGUUAUAAGGAUUCUUGACUUUGGAAACAAUAAAUGGUCUUUGUUGAGAUCGAUAGAUUAAGAAAAGUCUUUGGGGUGGUUGACUUUGUUCACAUUUAAAGAGAAGCUAACUAUUUUGUAGACUGUUUUUCUUCAUGCUUGACUAUAAUUGACUUUUAGGUGCCUUGUUUCUGUGUAUCGAGGAAUGUUGUAUCUAAAGAUUUUUCACUUAUAUAUAUAUAUAUAUAUAUAUAUAUAUAUAGAGAGAGAGAGAGAGAGAGAAGUGGCACGACAUUAUGGAAUAUACUUGCAUGUGCAAUUUAAGUGUGAUUAAAAUGAUAUGAGUGCUGCUUUUUGUUUAUUUGACUUCAUUUUUCUACCAUCAAUCAAAGUUGUACUAAUACUUAAAAUUAGGCCCGAGAUAAGGAAAAAAAUCAUUUCAAUCCAUGUAUUUAAAAAUUUAAAAUUUAAUUGCCUUAAUAAAAAAUGAAGAAUUUUAAAACGUAAGAGAAAUUUUAAGAAAUAUUUUGAUAUGGUAUGAAUUUAUAAUGUAUUAUAUUUAUUUUUGAUUAAUUUGUUUAUUUUUAAUUUUAAACUUUGAGAUUUGAACUUCUAAUUAGGUAGUUUGUUUCUUCUUGAUUCGUCACUGCCAUCGUUCUGAAGUGUGAAAACAGGUUUCUUCUUGAUUCGUCACUACCAUAGUGUUGAGGUGUGAAGAACGGUCUUUGGUUAACUUCUUUUUUAUUGGACAAUGUGGAUGGAAGGUUAUCCUUCAAUAGCCCGAAUUAAUCCAGGAAAAAGAUUGGAUACUGGUUAGCUGUUUUGAUGGGCGGAUCGUAGAAUUGUUGUGUUCUUUAAUUACUAGCCUCUUGGAAUUAUUGUAGAUUAUCUCUGUGCGGAAUUCUUGUUUCAUGUUGAUUUACUAAAACCUUUUUGAAAAUCAUUGCUGUCAAAAUCUUUGCCUUGUAGUCUUACUGGGAAUUCCUUCUAUUGGCUGUCUUAACUUGAAUUUUGGGCUUCCUUUGUUUUCACCCCCAUCGAUCUUGAUUGCUUCUACUGUUAUCUAGGUUUAAUUUUUACUCUGUAUUAAUGUUGAUUGCUCAUUGACUUCUUUUUGAAUUGAUUCUCAGUUUUUAGUUUCUAAAGGUGGCCUAACUAUGGACUUGACUUUGACUAUAGAUUCAAUUCGCAUGCCGAACUGAAUCUUUGUUUGGGAUCGCUUGAGGCUGGUGUCGCGGCCUCACUCGCUUCUAUGUUUGACCCCCCCUUUUGUGGGCUUCCAUGACUUUGUCAAAAAUUUUUGCCUUUUAUGAUCUUGAUUUGCUGUUGUUCGGCCUCCUUAUGUCUCAAUUUGUCGAUCAGUGCUUAUUUAAAACUAAAUUGUUGUGCCAAACUGCAUUUAAAAUUUUUUUAAAAAAUUUUUUAGAAAUCUUUUAGAAAUUUUUAAAAUUUUUUGAAAUUUUUAAAUUUUUACAAUUUUUUUUGAAAUUUUAAAAAAUAUUUAAUUUUUUAUAAAUUUUAAAAAAUUUUUAGAAAAUUUCAAAAAAUUUUAAAAUUUUCUAGAAAAUUUUUUUUAUAUUGAUGUGAUAUAAAUUAAAUUUUUUGAUAUCUAUCAAUAUUUUAUCGAAUGUUCAUGUCAUAUCAAUAUUUUUGUUUGAUGGUGUUAAGAAUUAUGAUAAUUUAAUAUAUGAAAAUAUAAUUUAAGUACAAAAUUAAAAAAAUUUUAUUUAAAUAUUACAUUAAAAAAAAUACAAUAAUUAAGAAGCCAAAGGGGACAUUAUCCGUCGGUACUACGAUUUUCUUUCUUUUGUCCGAUAUUUCGUCUCUUUCUUCAUUCAUUUCCGACGCAACUUGUAAUAGAAUUGAAACAUUUCUCAAAUUUGUUUGCUAUAAAUAUCACUUACACAAACACUUAAUUAAGCACGCAACACUUGUUAUUCUUUUCGACCAUCUUUCCUUCAUAUAGAUUUUGAGCCAUGGCAACACCUUCCAAUUCUUCUCCUCUUGCAUUUACUGUCCGAAGAUGCGAACCCGAGCUUGUUGUUCCAGCCAAGCCCACACCACAUGAAUACAAACUAUUAUCCGACAUUGAUGAUCAAGAGAGUCUCCGGUUCCAAAUUCCGGUGAUCCAAUUUUAUCAGUACGAUCCCUCCAUGCAAGGGAAGGACCCUGCUAAGGUUAUUAGGGAGGCCCUUAAACAAACCCUUGUGUUUUAUUAUCCAUUUGCUGGUAGACUAAGGGAAGGGGCUAACGGUAAACUUAUGGUGGAUUGCACUAGUGAAGGAGUGUUAUUUAUUGAGGCCGAUGCUGAUGUUACCCUUGAACAGUUUGGUGAUGCACUUCAGCCACCAUUUCCUUGCUUUGAUGAGCUCCUUUAUGAUGUUCCAGGCUCUGCAGGAUGAUAAAUUGCCCGUUGUUGUUGAUUCAGGUACCUUUUUUAUUCAAGCUCUCAUAAACUUUGACAUCACUUUUUUUUCUUCUUUCGAGUUCAAUUAAACAACAUGGGAAUGAAUUAACUGUCACCCAAGAUGUAUACUUGGACCAGAAACCAAGAUCACAAUUUUUUCUUUUAAGUAGACUUUUUAAUUAAUAGAUAAAAUAGAGACUACAUCAUCCAGGGAUAGCAAGCAAUAAGACCUCACGAAAAGAGCAAAAGGAGUUGUUUAAAUCGCUAACUCACAAUUAAAAAAUUCACUUUGUAGGGUUUUGAGUUUUAUUUACGCCUGAUUUGGUAAGGCUAUCAGCAAAAUUAUUUAUCUUUUGUGAUGUAUGAGAAUUUUAUAAAAUUCUUAAUUAUUGUUUCAAAGUUUUCAAAUGCAAUAUGUGCAUAUACCAAGCAAAUUUUCUAAUCAAGAUCACAAUUAAAAAAGAAAUAAAUAAAUAAAUUCGUAAGCAAAUUUUAUAACCAAUCGUACAUGCAUACUGUUCACACUUGACGGUGAUUCAACUGAGAGCACUGCAAACAAAUUUAAUGUUUGACAACAAAUUUUCGCGUUUCCUGCUGAAAUUUGUGUGGUGAGCAACUAGUCCACCGACGCCUCUGAGUACCACCAAUCUAAUAGAGCCAAUCAAUCCGACAUAAGAUACCCCGCCGCUACCUGUUAUUCGUGUAGGACAAAAUUAAUUUGAAGUUUGUAGAGAAAGUUUGAGAUUUUUUUUAAAAACAGUUAAAUUAAUAAAAAUUUUAAUAAAAAAUUAAAAUUGAUAAAAUUUAAUAUGAAAAUUAAUACUAUAUAAAAUAUUAUUUAUAGUUUAAAUUUAAUUGAUAUUAUUUAAUGAUAAAAAGUUUAUUAAUAUUUUUAUUAAAAAUAUUUAUUUAAAAAAUAUAUUAAAAUAUAUUUAAAUUUUUUCAAAUUUUAUAAACUUUAUUUAUGUGAUGAGAUUUUUAAUUAAUUAAUUUUAAUUUUUAUUUAAUCAUUUUUAGUAAAAAAUUUUACAAAUUUUACUUAAAAAUUUUUAUUUAAAUCUUUCGCUAUUUGAAUAACAUAAACUAAAACUUUUAGUACCAUCUAGAGUAAUUUUAAUUGAAGAGAUCAACCAAGAAACUUGCUUGCUAAUUGAUACUGUCAAAAAAAUUUUACUAUUAUCUAACUAAGGCAAAAAUAAGUGAUUAUAGAGAAAGAAAUCACAUGCUCUCUAUAUGUCAAAGUUAAAGACAAUUCAAUUUAAUUAUAUAGAAAAUUUUAAUUAAAUUUAAUUAUAUAAAAAUUAUAUAUUAUAAGUUAUUUUUAUGAUUAUUAUAUUUCACAUGUACGUAUGUUUUUAUGUGUAUAUAAUAUUUUCUUUAAUGUAUUUAAUGUUCUCAUCUAGGUUUUUUUAUUUUUUUGUCUGCCCAUCUAAGUUUUAAAUGGUUCAAAAUAAAAGCAUGUAAAGGUAUGAUGUACGAAAAAUAAAGAUUUAAUAUAUCAUAAUUUGUAUAUUUGUGUACUUUUAAAUUUUUUUAAAUAAAAAUCAUUUUUAUAUCAUUAAUUGAUUAUAGGUAACACGGCUAAAAUGCGGUGGUUUCAUCUUUGCCAUCCGCCUCAACCACGUCAUGAGCGACGCCGCUGGCAUAAAACAAUUCAUGUCCACCGUGGGCGAAAUGGCACGUGGCUUGGUUACGACCUCGAUCCCACCCGUAUGGGAAAGACAUCUCCUAGAUGCUCGAGACCCUCCACGAGUCACUUUCACACACCACGAGUACGACGAAGUGGAAGCCCACAUUAGCACCCAGUUACCUGACAACCUGGUCCAACGUUCCUUUUUCUUUGGUUCCUAUGAAGUUCAAGCUCUUCGCAGGCUGCUCCCACCCCACCUUCGCCAAUGCUCCAAGUUCGAACUGUUAACUGCGUGCUUAUGGCGUUGUCGGACCAUUGCUGUAAAUCCUGACCCUGACGAAGAGGUGCGCAUGCUAUGCCUUGCUAACACCACGUUCCAAAUUCAAUCCUCCAUUGCCAUCGGGAUAUUAUGGUAAUGCCUUCGUGUUCCCUGCAGCAAUAACAACAGCUAGAAAACUUUGCCAGAAUCCAUUGGGGUAUGCAGUGGAACUAGUGAAGCAAGCCAAGGCAAGGGUGACGGAGGAAUAUGUGAAAUCAGUCGCUGGUUUGAUGGUGAUUAGGGGUAAACGACUCCACUUCCCAGCAGUGAUUGGUUCCUACUUAAUAUCAGAUUGUAACAAAAUCUGGAUUCGAAGACAUCGAUUUCGGGUGGGGUAAGGCAGUGUUUGGAGGGCCAGCAAAAGGUAUUGGAGUGAUAAGCUUUUUCAUACGAGCCAAUUAUAUGGAAAGGAGAAGUUGAACUUUGGUGCCGAUUUGUUUGCCAGCUCCGGUCAUGGAAAGAUUUGCGAAGGAAUUGGACAACAUUUUGAAGGGCAGCCAAAGUGGGAGGGCAAAUCAUUUCUUAUUUCAUCUGCUAUGUGAAAGAAAUAGCAAUAUGACAUGAAAAAAAAUGUGUGGUAUUAUGAUCGAUACUUUUCUUUAGAUUACAAGGCAAAAAUAUUUUGUAGCCAGUAUCGAAUUCAUGAUAAAUAUAAACGAGGAACAAUUAGUUUAAUGAUUUCACAAGAACUAAAAUAAAUGAAUGCUUAAGGUUGUUGAUUAGCAAUUUCAGAUUAAUUACGUAGCCUAAUAUUACAUUUCGAAACUCAAUUUCGCAUUUGAAUUUUUUUUAGAUAUUUAGAUUUAAAAUAUAAGAACAUGAAAUUUUAUGUUAUAUUUAGAUUUAAAAUGUAAGAACAUGAAAUUUAUGUUCUGAUGAAUUUAAAAUUAAAAGUUAAAUAUUAUUUUAUGAUGUUUCAUAUUAGAAAUAAAAAUUACAAUUAUAAUAAAUAACUUUUAAUAUGUAUCAAUUAGUAUAUUCAUAGAAGAAUCAAUAAGCAAAUCAAUCAAAUAAACAAGUUAACANNNNNNNNNNNNNNNNNNNNNNNNNNNNNNNNNNNNNNNNNNNNNNNNNNNNNNNNNNNNNNNNNNNNNNNNNNNNNNNNNNNNNNNNNNNNNNNNNNNNNNNNNNNNNNNNNNNNNNNNNNNNNNNNNNNNNNNNNNNNNNNNNNNNNNNNNNNNNNNNNNNNNNNNNNNNNNNNNNNNNNNNNNNNNNNNNNNNNNNNNNNNNNNNNNNNNNNNNNNNNNNNNNNNNNNNNNNNNNNNNNNNNNNNNNNNNNNNNNNNNNNNNNNNNNNNNNNNNNNNNNNNNNNNNNNNNNNNNNNNNNNNNNNNNNNNNNNNNNNNNNNNNNNNNNNNNNNNNNNNNNNNNNNNNNNNNNNNNNNNNNNNNNNNNNNNNNNNNNNNNNNNNNNNNNNNNNNNNNNNNNNNNNNNNNNNNNNNNNNNNNNNNNNNNNNNNNNNNNNNNNNNNNNNNNNNNNNNNNNNNNNNNNNNNNNNNNNNNNNNNNNNNNNNNNNNNNNNNNNNNNNNNNNNNNNNNNNNNNNNNNNNNNNNNNNNNNNNNNNNNNNNNNNNNNNNNNNNNNNNNNNNNNNNNNNNNNNNNNNNNNNNNNNNNNNNNNNNNNNNNNNNNNNNNNNNNNNNNNNNNNNNNNNNNNNNNNNNNNNNNNNNNNNNNNNNNNNNNNNNNNNNNNNNNNNNNNNNNNNNNNNNNNNNNNNNNNNNNNNNNNNNNNNNNNNNNNNNNNNNNNNNNNNNNNNNNNNNNNNNNNNNNNNNNNNNNNNNNNNNNNNNNNNNNNNNNNNNNNNNNNNNNNNNNNNNNNNNNNNNNNNNNNNNNNNNNNNNNNNNNNNNNNNNNNNNNNNNNNNNNNNNNNNNNNNNNNNNNNNNNNNNNNNNNNNNNNNNNNNNNNNNNNNNNNNNNNNNNNNNNNNNNNNNNNNNNNNNNNNNNNNNNNNNNNNNNNNNNNNNNNNNNNNNNNNNNNNNNNNNNNNNNNNNNNNNNNNNNNNNNNNNNNNNNNNNNNNNNNNNUAUAGUAGUAAAAAAGAUCAUUUAUAUAAUUUAAUAAUUGAUUUCAUCGUUUUAAAUUUUUACAUCAACAAGUCAAUAUCAUUUGGUAAAGUUAACGACAUCAUUUUUAAUGGUAAAAAAUUGAUGGAAUUAAUAAUUGAAUUAAAUUAUCAAAUUAAAAUAAUAUUAAGAUUAAAUUUCUAUAAAUUAUAUUAUAGAGAGUAAAUUUUAAAUUUUUAUAAAGUAAAAAAACUUCCGACAUAUUUUGACCAAUAUAAUCUAUUGAGAUAAUUUUUAUCGUUAAAUUAGAUCGGUUCAUGAAGUUAUAUUUGAUUGGCUGACGGUGUCUUUUUUGUAUUAUUUUCUAGAAAAAAUGGAAAAAGGAUAGUUGGGUCGGUGCAAAUUUGGCAAUAGGGCUAUUAGAAGCGGCGGCUCAAGAGAGAAAAAUAAAUAGAAAAAAAUGAUAAAGUAGCUAUUAAAGUUUCACAAUUUCCUUCCCAUUACUACUUUUUUUUUUUUUGCAUGGAUGCAAACAAUAAAUACUGUGAAUCCUUUAUCCUAUUCUAUAAUUCACUUGCGAUUUACCAAAUGGUCUUUAUUUAAUAAAAACAAGAAAUCAGACUACUGUUCAUACCAGAGUUCCCCAAAAUACGUAUAAAUUGUUGAACUGUACAUUCAAUUUAAAUUACUCCAGCAGUCCCGUUUAUUGUUUUGUAUGUUUUGUUAUCAUCUACUAGAUAAUAAAUCAAGUAGAAGAAGCGAAUAUGAUGGUGGGUAUCAUAGUUUCAUGAGGAAAAUUUUCGCUGAAGAGGAAAUAUGGUAGCCAAAGGAGAGCAACAAGCAAAGAACAAGAAGAUUAAGCACUGAAAGAAGUAAAGGUUUGCCUAACAGUCGCGGCGUCUAUUGAUAAAGUUUAAAACUCUUAAUUUUAGUAAUAAAAUUUGAAUCUUGACAAUGUCAUAACAUUUAGAUUAGAAACACUUACAUAUUAGACACAAAAAUCAUGAAGUUAUCACUAAUUUUUUUUAUUUAAGUGUGGUUGGUUAUUUAUAUGAAUAUAUGUUUUUUAAUGUUAUCCUAAACCUAUGCUGAAGGUCUCUAAAAAAAUGAGUUUUGGUUUAUAUCAACAGAAUUAAGAUUUGAGGGUCGAUUACAUGCAAGAAAAAUAUUAACAUCCUUUUAUACCCAAAAUUGAUACCAUAUUAAUUAUGUAUUAUCUUGGCUAAGUCUUAAUCAAAGAUGAUUUUUAUCAUCUAAAUAAAUUAAUUCCAAUCCUUUUAUUUAUUUACAAAACAUGAUGAUACAAAAAUUCUAUCAAAUAUUAAGCAAUCAUGCAAUAAAUAUUAAAUCAUACCAUACAAAAAUUAUCAUGUAAAUAUAUUAUAAAUCAUACCAAAUAUUAUGUAAUAAUGUCAUGCCUAGAUCAUGCUAAAAUAUUCAUGUAAGAAUGUCAUGCAAAUAUAUUAAUUAUCAUGUAAUAAUAACAAUCAUGUAAAUAUGCAAAAUAAAAUAUAAUCACACAAAUAUGUUAGUAAGAUAAUCAUGCAAUUAUGCACACAAUAAAUAUAAAAAUAUGUAGUUAGAUAUCAUUCAAAAUUAACAUAAUAUCAUAUCAUGCAAUAAAUAUAAAAUCAUGCAAAAAUAAUAAUGAAUAAAUAACAAUGCAAAUAAAUAUAUUAUUAAUCAUACAAUCACACAAAUAAAUAAAUUAAUAAUCAUGCAAUUAGACAUCAUGCAAUUAGACAUGCAAUUAAAUAUAUAAUCACAUAAUUAACAAUGUCAAACAUGUAAUUAAAUAUUUAAUCAUGCAAUUAACAAUGUAAAACAUGCAAAUAAAUAUAUAAACAUGCAAUUAACAAUAUAAAUUAUCCAAAUAAAUAUAUAAUCAUGCAAUUAACAAUAUAAAACAUGCAAAUAAAUAAAUUAUCAUGCAAUUAACAAUAUAAAACAUGCAAAAAAAAUAUUAUGCAAUUAACAAUAUAAAAUAUGCAAAUAAAUAUAUAAUAAUAAUCAUGCAAUCACACAAAUAAAUAAAUUAAUAAUCAUGCAAACAAAUUAAUAGUCAUGCAAAACAUAUUAAUAGUCAUGCAAAAUAUAUUAAUAAAAUCACACAAAAUAUAUUAAUCAUUGUAAAUAAAUUAUCAUGCAACUAUAAUAUUAGUCUUGCAAAUUCAUGCAAAAUAAAUACCAUGUAAUAAAUAUAAAAAUAAAAAGUAAGCAAUUAAAUAUUAUAAAAGUUAUGCAAAAAUCACAAAAAAAAAUAAAAACCAAACAUUACCUUAAUGAAUCACGGAUUCCAAUAAAUUUUCACCUUUCAAAAAACUAAUAUUCUUACUAUAAUUCUUAACAUUGCUUCCAAAAUCUCUGAACCGGAUCUUCUUGGCCAAUUUUUUUUUAUGAUUGCUUCUUCCUUGUUGAUUCAAAGCUUUACCCAAAUUUUUUCUCUUUUCAAUGACCUUUGUUUGAUCAAUUGUUUUUAGGCCCCCUCUUUUGAUCUUAGAUUCAAGGUCCUUAUAUAGGGAUUGAAUUCCUUUUGAUUUGGAAGAAAUUAAUUCAACCAAAUCUAGGAUUUCUUUUCAAAUUUUAUUCUCUGUGCAAUCUUCCAUUUUUCAAAAGAUUAAGUCCCAAGUCUCUCCAAAAUUAUUCAACCAUUAAAGUUGAAAUAUGAGAUAGAAUCCAAGAGUUAAAUUGGAUCCAAGAUUUUUCAUGCAAAAUCUCACAUUUUUCUUUAUUUAUUUUUUACUCUUGUUUUGAAUUUUUUUACCGAUUGACUUUGACUUUUUUUACUAAAAAAUUAAAAUUAAACUAAAAAAAUUAAAAUACAAAUAAAAUUUAGGACUUAAUUUUAGGUCCGAAAUUCACUUUUCCAAUCAAAGCAAUUGCAUAAUCAAAAUUAAAAUUCAAAGUUUAAUGAAUUUUGAAAAAUCCCCCCCAAAAAAAGGGUAUCUACAGUUGCUCAUUUUUGUGCAUUUUCUGUGAAAUAGGAAUUGUAUAAAAACAAAAGACAUCCAUUUUGUCUGGGUCAAGAAAAAUCAAAAAAGAAUAUUGCAAAGGCUCUUCUUUAGAGGUUUGAAACUUUUUCUUUUGAAAAAUGCUCCCUUCCAACUAAGGCUUUGAAAUUUUUGAAAAAUAAAAUGCUCCUCCAUAGUUGAAACUUUGGAACUUUUGAAAAUACAAUGUUGUUCCCCAACAAUUGAGGCUUUAGAACUUUUGAAAAAUAAAAUACUCCUCCACAGCUGAGGCUUUAAAACUUUGAAAAAUAAAAUGUUCUCUCACAAUUGAGACUUUGAAACUUUUGAAAAAUAAAAUGAGAUCAUUUUACCUUCAAAAAGCUCCUCCAUGAUAGAGGCAUUGAAACUUAAGAAAAUCUUACAUUAAAUUGAGUUUCUGUAUCUUAUCUGAAUCAUCAUUGAUUGCCUUCCAGUGUCUCUUCUCAAAAUUAUUUUCUUAUCUAGUUUUUCCCUCUUGCUUUUCAAACAUAUGCAAUGAAUGCAUGCAAUGAAUGAAAAGAUUCUCCACAAUUUCAAAAUCAAUUUCUAGAUUCCAAACUUUAAUUUUUCUUCCUUUCAAACAUGCAUGAUGCAUGGAUGAUAUGAGGAACACAAUGUAUACAUACAAUCAAUGCGUGAGCUAAAGCUUUUUCAAAAUUUCAUCAUAAUUUCACAACUUAAACUUUGAUCUUUCUUUUUCCAAACAUGAAGUACAUGAGUGCAACAAAUGCAAUGAUAUAUGCAACAUGUAAUGAAUGCAGUGAAUACAACACAUAAAUGCAAAAUUCCUACUCAAUUUCAAACUUUAAAAUUUUUUUUCCUUUUCAAAUAUGCAUGAUGAAUGCCGUGAAUGAGUGAAUAUUCUCAGUAUGAUGCAUGCAUGUAAUGCAUGUGGUGAAUGCAAUGUAUGCUAUGAAAUUCAUUUAUUUUUUUAAUUUUGGUAACUCAAAGGGUUCUCAAAACUUUUGAUUUAUCUUUCAUUUUCUUUAACUCUUCAACACUUAUGAUUUCAACAAGAGCUAUCAUACCCUAUCAAGUAAUCUCAUCCAUUUUAUUUUCUAAAUUCAAAGUUUCCUUGUUUCAAUGGGAUCUUAAGACUUUUUUUCGUGUCUUCUUUUCAGUUUCUCAUCAUGUUUUUCUUCAACUUAUUUGGAACUGGCUAGCAAAUAUAUCAACUGAUUUGUGACCUAAUAUUCCUCUUCAUUAGGUUCAUCAUUUAAUUUCAACAUUUGGAAUGCUUCUUUUCAUUUGUAAGCCACAAUGAUCAAUAUCAUUUUAAACUUCUUUUAUUUUUCACAUUUCAUUUUCAAUAUGCUACAGUCACUUCCAACUUUUUUGAAAUAAUAUAAGGAUCUUUCAUAAUAGUCAUUCAUUCAUUCAUCAUCAUUUCAAUUCAAUGCCAAAUGUAAUCCAUCACAUUUCUUUAAUACAUCACGGGAAUAAAUAAAUGGUGAAGAACAAUAAAAAUUAAAAAAAAAAGGUAUUCAUUAUAAGAAUAAGUUUGGAAAAAAAUAAAUAGGCAAAAAAAUCAUUUCAAGAUAAAUCAUCAAGAUAAAUGCUAGAAAGGGUACACAAUAUCUAAAAUAAUGAAUAUUCAAACAAUUCUAGACAAAUUAAUUCUAAAUUCUUUUUCAAAAGCUCAUUCCAUUGAUAUUCUUGAUAUUCUAUCAAUUUAAGCAUUAUCUUUAUUUCUUAGGGAUCUUCAUCAAUGCUAUUUUUUCAAGUUUCCUUUAUGUUACUUAAACCGUCUUUUCAUAUUUUUAGUUUAAGUUUUCCUUCUUCCUCCUUUUUUUUGUUAUUUAUUUUUUAUUUUACUUAUUUUUUUUUCUUUGUACGCCAUUUCCUUCUUAUUUCCCCUUUUCCUUUAAUCCACCAAUGACAUUUUGAUCAAAUUUCUCAACAUUUUCAUUACAGGUUUAUCUUAGUUCAAUUCAUAAUUCUCCAUUUCGGGCAUUCACAUUUGAUCAAAAUGAACUUUGAAGGGACUAACAUAGGCUAGGGUGAGGGUUAUGAAAGAAAUGAAUAAAAUAGACCCAAAAUCAAUUCGAAGGGUUACAAACUAAAGGAACAUUUAUUAUCAUAUGGAGCGACUUGGUUUUUGCCCCAUUUUCAUCAAUUUUCUUUGUUUCUUUUUUCUUUCUUUUUUUUUUUCAUUUUUUUUUGGUAUGCACUUUUCAUACUUUUUCGGGAAAGAUAUUAGGACCAAAGAGGGUUUUUUUUUUUUUUGGCCUUAAAGUCAUUAAGAACUUUCAUUUUUUUUUUCUCUUUGUGAUCAAGCUUUUUUCAAACUUUACCCCUAGUGUGGAAGGUAAUCUUUAGUUAGGGUUUCUUCCAAAAAAAAUUUAAUAAGCUCUAAUAGGAUAACAAAUGAAUAAUUUUACUCCUUGUGUGAAAAGUAGAAGAAAGAUUGUCAUUUCUCAUUUCAAAUAUAAAUACUCUAUUUGAAGAAUAUUUAUUGAAUAAGAGCAAACUUGUAGUGAAUCAUCACAAAAACCACACACUACAACAUUUCCAUUUAUGAAUUAGUGAAAUCACAUGCUAGUUUCAUUUUAUGAAACCUAUCCUCUUUUACUUCAAUGAUCCCAAUAGAUUAAGAGUCUCAACUUAUCAAUUCCAUCAAUAUGAAUUAUUGCCAUGAUUCAUCAAAAGGUUAACAAUUAAGCAUGUCCAAUAAAACAGCCCUCUCUAUUUCGAUGACAAUGAUUUAAAGAUCUAAUGAUCUCAACUACAAAUGUAAGAAUAAGGGUUAAUUUGGUAACCAGGUUAAUCGAAGAAAUUCACCACUGCAACAUCAAUAUAACCCAUUACUUUUGGAAAUACCAUCAUCCUAUAUGAAGCCAAUGCUAUCAAAUCCAUUUCUCUUUCAGUGCUAAAAUAUUUAUAUAUAAAGUCACAAACAAUGGAUCAAGGAAUACCAACACUUUCACUUUUUCCUUUUACCCAAUUGUUAAUAGUUUUGACAUUUACAACCAUCAUUUGAGCAAGCUUUUUAUGAUAACCAGCCUUUUUAUUUUUUCAGUAUACCUUAUAAGGAUUAACAAGAUCCAAGCAAAAGAGAGUUGAAUAUUCUUUAAUAAUUGACACCAUAUCGACCUCAUUGAACACAAAGUAACGAUAUGAAGGGUCCCAAAUUUUAACCAUGGCCCUAAUAAGCUGAUUAUCCAUAUGAACUGAAAAAAGUAAUGCAAAAUCCAUAAGCUUCUUUUAGAAAGUCUCCUUGGCAUUGACAUUCUAUUGGUUCCAAAUACUAACCAAAUCAUUAAGAUCAUUUCGUUUGAAAUUGAGAUGUAUUUUGGUAGGCAGAGUAGUUACAUAAUUGACUGGAAAAUAAUCACCAUCUUUAAGCUGAGAUUCCUCAUACUUCAUUCUUAGGCUCAUAAGGAACUUUGAUAGGCUCUCCAUGGACGUAAUUAAGAUUCUUUUUGUUAUGAUUAUUUUGUAGCAAUUACUCAUUAUAUAAAUGUAAUGACGCAUGUAUGCAAAACAAAGUAGAGAAAAAGGUUAGUUAACAUAUACAAGGAAUAGCAUAAUAUAUAUAAGGAACAAUCUAAAAGGUUAGUAUGCAAAAAUAUAUACAAGGAAUAACAUAAAUUUACAAGAAUAAUAAUUGUCCCAUCAUGUAUCUUAUUUAGGUUUUUUCUAAUAAAGGGAAGGUAUGGCUCUAACCUAGGUUUGAAUUCUUAAAGUUCAUGUACAUGCCAGGUUCAAAGGCUUGACAAUUUAAAGGCUCCCAAAUUGUUCCCUACAUCACCAUCCAUUAUAGACAAGUAGGGCACCCCAAUCCUUGCCCACUAUUAUAGGCUCAAACAGAAAGGGUUCAAUUUGAAUGAGACUUUUCGCUAACUCACACAAAGGUUAUCCACUCAUGAGAGUGUAGGUACUUGCUCCAUCCUAAUAAAGGAUAAAGUCCUAGUAUAGAGCUUAUUGCAUCAAUGCGAAUGUGGUGUGUGUAAAGGGACAUCAAAUAAUCAAAUAAAUUAAUGCACAUAAAAAAUUAAAAUUUGCAAAACAAAGAAAACAAUAACAAAUAAGUUAGUAAUAUGAAAAUCACAAAUAAUUACAUAAUAAAACUAGUAAAGUAAGGCUUAAGAUAACACAUGACUAACUAAUAGAUUGACUCUCUAAUGUCCCCAGUGGAGUUGCCAAACAGUCAUAAUGUCUAGAUUGGAAAAACCUACCCAUUAGACACAAAAAUCAAGAAGUCACCAUCAAUCUUUUUAACCUAGGUGUGAUUGGCCACUUAUAUGAAUAUAUCCUUUUUAAGGUUAUCCUAAACCUAAGUUGAGGGUCCCUAAAAAGAAUAGUUUAUGGUUUACAUCAAUAGAACUAAAAUUUGAGAGUCGGUUACAUGUAGGAAGGUAUUAGCACCCCUUUAUGCUCAAAAUUGGUACCAUAUUAAUUAUAUGUUAUCCUGCCUAAGCCUUAAUCAAAGAUGGGCUUUUAUCAUGCAAAUAAAUCAAUUCCAAUCUUUUUAUUUAUUUACAAAAUAUGGUGAUACAAAAAUUCUAUCAAAUAUCAAGCAAUCAUGCAAUCAUGUAAUAAAUAUUAAAUCACACCAUGCCAAAAUUAUCUUGCAAAUAUAUUAUAAAUCAUACCAAAUAUCAUGUAAUAAUAUCAUGCUAGAUCAUGCUAAAAUAUUCAUGUUAGAAUGUCGUGAAAAUAUAUUAAUUAUCAUGCAAUAAUAACAAUCAUGUAAAUAUGCAAAUCAAAUAUAAUCACAUAAAUAUGUUAGUAAUAUAAUCAUGCAAUUAUGCACACAAUAAAUAUAAAAAUAUGUAGUUAGAUAUCAUUCAAAAUUAAUAUAAUAUCAUAUUAUGCAAUAAAUAUAAAAUAAUGCAAUAAUAGUAAUGAAUAAAUAACCAUGCAAAUAGACAUAUUAUUAAUCAUACAAUCACACAAAUGAAUAUAUAUAAUCACACAAAUAACAAUAUAAAUCAUGCAAUUAAAUAUAUAAUCAUGCAAUUAACAACAUAAAACAUGCAAAUAAAUAUUUAAUCAUGCAAUUAACAACAUAAAACAUGCAAUUAAAUAUAUAAUUAUACAAUUAACAAUAUAAAACAUGUAAUUAAAUAUAUUAUCAUACAGUUAACAAUAUAAAACAUACAAAUAAACAUAUUAUGCAAUUAAUGAUACAAAACAUGCAAAUAAAUAUAUUAUCAUGCAAUUAAAUAUAUAAUAAUACAAAUAAUAAUAUAAAUCAUCCAAUAAACAUGCAAUUAAAUAUAUAAAAAUAAUCAUGCAAUCACACAAAUAAAUAAAUUGAUAAUCAUGCAAAUAAAUUAAUAAUCAUGUAAACAUAUUAAUAGUCAUGUAAACAUAUUAAUAAAUCACAUAAAUAUAUUAAUCAUGUAAAUAAAAUAUUAGACAAAUAAAUUAUCAUGCAAAUAUAAUAUUAGUCAUGCAAAUUCAUGCAAAAAUAAAUACCAUGAAAUAAAUAUAAAAAUAAAAGUAAGUAAUUAAAUAUUAUAAAAGUUAUGCAAAAAUCACAAAAGAAAAAUAUGAAAGCAAACAUUACCUCAAUGGAUCAUGGGUUCCAACAAAUUUUCACCUUUCCAAAAUUGAUGUUUCAUACUAUAAAUGUUAAUCUUUCUUCCAAAAACUCCAACGGGAUCUUUUGCAAAAUUUUUUGUUUGAUUCCUUUUUCCUUGUUGAUUCAAACCUUUUAUUCAAAUUUUCUCUCAUUUCAAUGACCUUUGUUUAAUCUUGAAAUCAAUUGCUGUUAGGCUCCCUCUUUUGAUCUUAGAUUCCAUGUCCUUAUAUAGGGAUUGAAUUUCUUUUGACUUUCAAGAAAUUAAUUCAACCGAAUCUAGGAUUUCUUUCCAAUUUUUUUCUUUAUGCAAUCUUCGCUUUUUCAAUAGAUUUGGCGUUAAGUUUUUCCAAAAUUAUUCAACCAUGAAAGUUGAAAUCUGUGAUAAAAUCCAAAAGUUUAAUUGAAUCCAAGAUUUUUUAUACGAAAUCCCAUAUUUUUCUUUUUUACUCCUUUUUUUAUUUUUUUUUACCAAUUGACUUUGACUCUUUUAGUUAAAAAAAAAAUUAAACUAAAAAAUUAAAAUACAAAUAAAAUUUAGGGCUUAAUCUUUGGUUCCAAAAUUAACUUUUUCGAUUAAACUUAAUUGCAUAAUCAAAAUUAAAAUUCGAAGCCAAUGAAUUUAAAAAACUCUUGGACAAAAUAGGAUGUUUACAGACAACUUCAAGCAAAUAAAAAAAAGGUCAAGGGUCAGUUGAGGGCUAAGGUAGAGGAAGUUUGCAAAUAGGCGAGAUCAGACGAUGGUAAAGGGCCCUGAAUUAGUUGCAUACUUGCAUAACAAUUAAACUAAUCAGUCCAUGAGUGAGAAGAUCUGUUUAUAAAUUUAAAUAAGAGACACAUAGAGAAAGAAAUGCAAGUGAAUUCUGGUUUAGUGGUGGGUUCUCACAACUUGAACGAGCUCCUAGUUAUUUGUCGUGAUAGGGACUCUUCUGUAAGUUGUGUGCAUAUAUAUAUCAAACACACUUGCACCUUUUUUUUUUUUUGCUUUUGAAUUACAAAUUUCAGGAAAAAAUGAGAGCGAAUGGUGUGGCAGAGAAAAAGGUGGGAAUGUUUAAGUGGCCAAACAUGUUACAUAUGCGGAGAUGAUGUAGGACUGACAGCCGCCUGCAAUGAGUGUGCCUUCCCCAUUUGUCGAGCUUUGUUAUGAAAUUCAAUAAGUUAGGAGGAUGAUAAAGGAAUAUAAUAUUGAAAUGGUGUUGUUGCAGGAAACUGAAUAGGUUUCUUGUGAUAUUGGAAUUGCUGAGAAGAUCUGGCUUUUUUUUUUUAUGGGGAUCUAGUCUUGCUGAAGGAACAUCGAGUGGAUUAAUAAUGAUUUGGGAAAAAAUUUAACUUCAGUGGUGAUCAAGAACAGAUUUGUGUACUGGUUUAUGAGUAUGCCCCCAAUGGCCAGGAUGAAAGAAGAGGUGAAGGAGUGAACUGGUUGCGUUGAAGCAUGAAAUGGGAGGAAAUAAGUGCGUGGCUGGCUAUUUUAAUACUAUUAGGUGUUCAGAUGAGAGGAGGGGGUGCACUUCCGAUGGAGUUGGAAUGGCUGAUUUAAAUGAGUUCAUUCAAAUGGAGGAGCUUCUGGACUUAUUCAAAUGGAGCAGAUAUCUAUUCAAGGGAAUGGAAUUUUCGAAUUAGAUGAUAGUUUUUGAAUGUAAAAUGAACUAUUAAAGAAGUUGCAAGACAUUGCAAUCGAAGGUGCAGUAAGGACCAACACAAAGGACAAUCUAGUGUGGGAACUUGAUAGAAAUGAAAAUUCUCAGUAAAGCAAUUUGUGUCUUUCAUGGAUAGUUUGCAUCUUUCUUUCGAUCAAUAGAUUUUAUGGUGGCUAUUAGCUACGUAUGUUAUAAGGAUUCUUGACUUUGGAAACAAUAAAUGGUCUUUGUUGAGAUUGAUAGAUUAAGAAAAGUCUUUGGGGUGGUUGACUUUGUUCACAUGUAAAGAGAAGCUAACUAUUUUGUAGACUGUUUUUCUUCAUGCUUGACUAUUUAUAAACCAGAUGAUGCAAUUGAUGGAGUCUGACAAUUUUCGUCAACACAAUCUACUGGAAUUGAUAACAACAAUGCAGAUUAUGGAUUAAAGGAUGUAGCAGCACAAUGACAUAUUUUUCAAGAGUUAUAUUAUAAAUUUUAUGGAUUUUAGUACUAUAUUUUAUAGAUUUUAACUUUAUAAUUUGGAUUGUUUUAGAAUUUUUUUUGAUAUAAACUUUAUGAUGUGGAUUUGAUCUUUUAAUGAAUAAUAGACGAAUAAUAGAUUGCUAAAAUAAUUUUAUUUUUAAUUUAAAGAUUAAUUAAAUAAUUAUAGAUGAAAUUAAAUAAAUUAUCAAUGAAAUUUAAAUUUUACCAACAAAUUUUAUCAAUGGAAUUCUCGCUUUUAGCAACGAAAAUAAUAAAUUAUCUAUGGAAUAUUGAUGGAUUAUUGAUGAAUUUUAUCAACGAAGUGUUGAUGCAAUUAUCAAUGGAACAUUUAUUGACGAAAUAUUUACUAAUGAAAAUUUUCAUCUAUAAAUUUCAUUGAUAAAAUAUUUACCUAUAAAAUUUAAGUUAUUAUUAAUAGAAAAUUUCGUUGAUAAUAUGGUAUUUUCUGAUAGUGCAUUGAAAAAGAAAACUCACAAAAAGUUGCAAAAUUACAGCACUAUUAGCUGUGGUAUCCGCUUGAAAUAAAUGGAUUUUAUGUGUUGAGUGGUUUAUAUCACGGCCAAAAUGACACAAAAAAGAGGUCUAACCGUGUACGUUAGGAAGUAUCCACGUGAAAUAAAUGUUGGAAACCCCUCAACGCCUUUCUUUUUUGUGGCUUCAUAUUCCUAAUUAGAAAAAAGAAAAAAAAAAGGGAAGUGGUACUUGCAUGUGCAAUUUGAGCGUGAUUAAAAUGAUAUGACAAUUGCUUUUGAUUAAUUUGUUUAUUUUUAAUUUUAAACUUUGAGAUUUGAACUUCUAAUUAGGUAGUUUGUUUCUUCUUGAUUCGUCACUGCCAUCGUUCUGAAGUGUGAAAACAGGUUUCUUCUUGAUUCGUCACUAUCAUAGUGUUGAAGUGUGAAGAACGGUCUUUGGUUAACUUCUUUUUUAUUGGACAAUGUGGAUGGAAGGUUAUCCUUCAAUAGCCUGAAUUAAUCCAGGAAAAAGAUUGGAUACUGGUUAGCUGUUUUGAUGGGCGGAUCGUAGAAUUGUUGUGUUCUUUAAUUACUAGCCUCUUGGAAUUAUUGUAGAUUAUCUCUGUGCGGAAUUCUUGUUUCAUGUUGAUUUACUAAAACCUUUUUGAAAAUCAUUACUGUCAAAAUCUUUGCCUUGUAUUCUUACUGGGAAUUCCUUCUAUUGGCUGUCUUAACUUGAAUUUUGGGCUUCCUUUGUUUUCACCCCCAUCGAUCUUGAUUGCUUCUACUGUUAUCUAGGUUUAAUUUUUACUCUGUAUUAAUGUUGAUUGCUCAUUGCCUUCUUUUUUAAUUGAUUCUCAGUUUUUAGUUUCUAAAGGUGGCCUAACUAUGGACUUGACUUUGACUAGAGAUUCAAUUUGCGUGCCCAACUGAGUCUUUGUUUGGGAUCGCUUGAGGCUGGUGUCGCGGCCUCACUCGCUUCUAUGUUUGACCCCCCCUUUUGUGGGCUUCCAUGACUUUGUCAAAAAUUUUUGCCUUUUAUGAUCUUGAUUUGCUGUUGUUCGGCCUCCUUAUGUCUCAAUUUGUCGAUCAGUGCUUAUUUAAAACUAAAUUGUUGUGCCAAACUGCAUUUAAAAUUUUUUAAAAAAAUUUUUUAGAAAUCUUUUAGAAAUUUUUAAAAUUUUUUGAAAUUUUUACAAUUUUUUUUGAAAUUUUAAAAAUUAUUUAAUUUUUUAUAAUUUUUAAAAAUUUUUAGAAAAUUUCAAAAAAUUUUAAAAUUUUUUAGAAACUUUUUUUUCAUAUUGAUGUGAUAUUGAUGAUGUGAUAUAAAUUAAAUUUUUUAACAUGUAUCAAUAUUUUAUCGAAUGUUCAUGUCAUAUCAAUAUUUUUGUUUGAUGGUAUUAAGAAUUAUGACAAUUUAAUAUAUGAAAAUAUAAUUUAAGUACAAAAUUAAAAAUUUUUUAUUUAAAUAUUAUAUUAGAAAAAAUACAAUAAUUAAGAAGCCAAAGGGGACAUUAUCCCUUGGUACUACGAUUUUCUUUCUUUUGUCCGAUAUUCCGUCUCUUUCUUCAUUCAUUUCCGACGCAACUUGUAAUAGAAUUGAAACAUUUCUCAAAUUUGUUUGCUAUAAAUAUCACUUACACCAACACUUAAUUAAGCACGCAACACUUGUUAUUCUUUUCGACCAUCUUUCCUUCAUAUAGAUUUUGAGCCAUGGCAACACCUUCCAAUUCUUCUCUUUGCAUUUGCUAUCCGAAGAUGCGAACCCGAGCUUGUUGUUCCAGCCAAGCCCACACCACAUGAAUACAAACUAUUAUCCGACAUUGAUGAUCAAGAGAGUCUCCGGUUCCAAAUUCCGGUGAUCCAAUUUUAUCAGUACGAUCCCUCCAUGCAAGGGAGGGACCCUGCUAAGGUUAUUAGGGAGGCCCUUAAACAAACCCUUGUGUUUUAUUAUCCAUUUGCUGGUAGACUAAGGGAAGGGGCUAACGGUAAACUUAUGGUGGAUUGCACUAGUGAAGGAGUGUUAUUUAUUGAGGCCGAUGCUGAUGUUACCCUUGAACAGUUCGGUGAUGCACUUCAGCCACCAUUUCCUUGCUUUGAUGAGCUCCUUUAUGAUGUUCCGGGCUCUGCAGGGAUGAUAAAUUGCCCAUUGUUGUUGAUUCAGGUACCCUUUUUUAUCCGAGCUCUCAUAAACUUUGACAUCACUUUUUUUUUCUUCUUUGGAGUUCAAUUAAACAACCUGGGAAUGAAUUAACUGUCUCCCGAGAUGUAUACUUGAACUAGAAACGAAGAUCAUAAUAUUUUUUUUUCAAGUAGACUUUUUAAUUAAUAGAUAAAACAGAGACUACAUCAUCCAGGGAUAGCAAGCUAUAAGUUGCCAGACCUCUCGAAAAGUGAACAAAAGGAGUUGUUUAAAUCGCUAACUCACAAUUAAAAAAUUCGCUUCGUAGGAUUUUAAGUUCUAUUUACGCCUGAUUCGGUAAGGCUAUCAGCAAAAUUAUUUAACUCUUGCGAUGUAUGAAAAUUUUUAUAAAAUUUUUAAUUGUUGUUUCAAAGUUUUCAAAUGCAACAUGUGCAUAUACCAAGCAAAUUUUCUUAUCAAGAUCACAAUUAAAAAAGAAAAAAAAAUAAAUUCGUAAGCAAAUUUUAUAACCAAUCGUACAUGGACAACUGUUCACACUUGACGGUGAUUUCAAGUAAGAGUACUUCAAACAAAUUUUCGCGUUUCCUACUGAAAUUUGUGUGGUGAGCAGCUAGUCCACCGACACCUCUGGGUACUACUAGGGGUGUAAUCGAGCCGACACAGUGAGAAGCACGAGCUCGACUCACAACUCACGACUCGAUACUUGAUUCAAAUUCGAUCGAGUUUUAUUUUUCAAGCUCAAGCUCGAUUUGUGAUCGAAUUCAAGCUACUCGAACUCGCUCGAUUAAUAUGUAAAAAUAAGCUCAAUUCGUAUACUCGAUAAGAGUUCGAUUAUUUAUGUUCGAGCUCGAAAUCGAAUUCGAAAUAGUUUAUUAAUUAAAAUAAUAAAAAUAUAUUUAAAUAUAAAAGCUCGAUUAGGCUCGUGAGUUACUCGAGCCGGAUAUAAGAAUAUUCAAAUUCGACUCAAUCGAAAAGUCGAGCUACUCGAGCUCAAGCUCGACUCGAUAAUAAUCAAAUCGAAUUAAAGUUUUCUUCGAAUCGAACCCGAGUAGCUUGCGAGUACUAAUAUAUCAUUUACACCCCUAAGUACCACCAAUUUAAUAGAGCUGAUGAAUCCGCCAGUACCUCGUAUUCGAAUAGGACAAGAUUUAUUAGAAGUUUGUAGAGGAAGUUUGAGAUUUUUUAAAAAAAUUUAAUUUAAUAAAAAUUUUAAUAAAAAAUUUAAAUUGAUAAAAUUUAAUAUGAAAAUUAAUAAUAUAUAAAAUAUUAUUUAUAGUUUAAAUUUAAUUGAUAUUUUUCAAUGAUAAAAAUUUUAUUAAUAGUUUUAUUAAAAAUAUUUAUUUAAAAAAUAUAUUAAAAUUUUUUUAAAUUUUAAUAAACUUUAUUUAUGUGAUGAGAUUUUAAUUAAUUAAUUUUGAUUUUUAAUUUUUAAUUUAAUUUAAUCAUUUUUGGAAAAAAAAUUUUACAAAUUUUACUUAAAAAUUUUUAUUUAAAUCUUUCGCUAUUGGAAUAACAUAAACUAAAACUUUUAGUACUAUCUAGAGUAAUUUUAAUUGAAGAGAUCAACCAAGAAACUUGCUUGCUAAUUGGUACUGUCAAAAAAAUUUUAAUAUUAUCUAACUAAGGCAGAAUUAAGUGAUUAUAGAGAAAGAAAUCACAUGCUCUCUAUAUUUCAAAGUUCAAAACAGUUCAAUUUAAUUAUAUAGAAAUUUUUAAUUAAAUUUAAUUAUAUAAAAAAUUAUAUAUUAUAGUUAUUUUUAUUGAUUAUUAUAUUUCACAUGUACUUAUGUUUUUAUGUGUAUAUAGUAUUUUCUUUAAUGUAUUUAAUGUUCUCAUCUAGGUUUUUUUUUUUUUUUUGUCUGCCCAUCUAAGUAUUAAAUGGUUCAAAAUAAAAGCAUAUAAAGGUAUGAUGUACGAAAAAUAAAGAUUUAAUAUCUAAUCAUUUGUAUAUUUGUGUACUUUUAAAUUUUUUUAAAUAAAAUUCAUUUUUAUAUUAUUAAUUGAUUAUAGGUAACACGGCUAAAAUGCGGUGGUUUCAUCUUUGCCAUCCGCUUCAACCACGUCAUGAGCGACGCCGCUGGCCUAAAACAAUUCAUGUCCACCAUGGGCGAAAUGGCACGUGGCUUGGUUACAACCUCGAUCCCACCCGUAUGGGAAAGACACCUCCUAGAUGCUCGAGACCCACCACGAGUCACUUUCACACACCACGAGUACGACGAAGUGGAAGCCAACAUUAGCACCCAGUUACCGGACAACCUGGUCCAACGUUCGUUUUUUUUCGGCUCCUAUGAAGUUCAAGCUCUUCGAAAGCUGCUCCCACGCCACCUUCGCCAAUGCUCCAAGUUCGAACUGUUAACAGCUUGCUUAUGGCUUUGUCGAACCAUUGCUAUAAAUCCUGACCCUGACGAAGAGGUGCGCAUGC